CGAGUAUUGGGGGUACGAUUCUCUCACUGUGCAAUGGGUGUACUUAAUUAGGUUGCAAAAGGAAGAACGGUUGAUUAUGGAGUGCUUCGAUUUGAUUUCAGCGAACAAAUUACAGAGUUUGAAAGGUUCGUGAAAAUGAAUUUUCAUAUUCUUAGGGAAUUAAUUAUCCAUAUAUUAUUGUUCAUUUUAACCAUGUUCCCAUCUAAAUCUCAUAAAACCC